GCUGGGCAUGGUGGUGUGUGCCUGUAAUCCCAGCUACUGGGGAGGCUGAGGCAGGAGGAUGGCUUGAACCCAGGAGGCGGAGGUUGCAGUGAGCCGAGAUUGUGCCACUGCACUCCAGCCUGGGUGACAGAGCAAGAUUCCGCCUCAA
rnacentral:SRP_RNA from 1 species